AGGGGCUGGAUUUGGAUUUGGAUUUGGAGGACACAGGAAUUGGAUUUGAAUUUGGAUUUGGAGGACACAGGGGUUGGGAUUGGGUUUGGAUUUGGAGGACCCAGCCUUUAUUUCCCCCCUUUAUUCCCUUUAUUUCCUUCCUUUAUUUCCUCCUUUUAUUCCCUUUAUUUCCCCCCUUUACUUCCUUUAUUCCCCCCUUUAUUCCCUUUUAUUUCCCCCCUUUAUUCCCUUUAUUUCCUUCCUUUAUUUCCCCCCUUUAUUUUCCCCCUUUAUUCCCUUUAUUUCCCCCCUUUAUUCCCUUUAUUUCCUUUAUUUCCUCCCUUUAUUUCCUCCCUUUAUUCCCUUUAUUUCCCCCCUUUAUUUCCUCCCUUUAUUUCCCCCCUUUAUUUCCUGCCUUUAUUCCCUUUAUUUUCCCCCUUUAUUCCCUUUAUUUCCCCCCUUUAUUCCCUUUAUUUCCCCCUUUAUUUCCCCCCUUUAUUCCCUUUAUUUCCUUCAUUUAUUUCCUCCCUUUAUUUCCUUUAUUUCCCCCCUUUAUUUCCCCCUUUUAUUCCCUUUAUUCCCUUUAUUUCCCCCCUUUAUUUCCUCCCUUUAUUUCCUUUAUUUCCCCCCUUUAUUUCCUCCCUUUAUUUCCACAUCACUCUUGUCAUUAUUUGCUGCUUCUGGAGGGCUUUGCUUUCAUUUCCCUUCAGCAUUUUCUUAUAGAAAAUAAAGAAGAAAAAUCUUCUUCAUUUUAGGGUUAAAAAAAACAAAAAAAGGUUUUCUUUGGUUCCUUUAGAAAAACCAUUUGGGUUUUCUUUAACCCAAAACCUGGGUUCAGUUCCCAUCAGAAAAAGCUCCUGAGGUUUGGUCCAAAAUCCUCCNGUUUAUUCACUCCAUCAAUCACUUUUUAUAACCGUGUUAAUUAAGUUCAUGCAUAUUGCAAUGAACUUAA
rnacentral:lncRNA from 1 species